UACUAGCCAACUUUUAAAAUGGUGAAACCGCGAAAGGCUCAUUAAAUCGGCUUUGGUUCCUUAGAUAGUUUGCAGAUUGGAGUUUUUUUCGACUUGUCGAGAAAAACAAAAUUCUGAAAUGGAUAACUGUGGUAAUUCUAGAGCUAAUACAUGAAAAAAAUUCGGUGCGAAACUGCGUUUAUUUUCGAUAAACGUUAGACUUUGCACGCUUUUAUUAGAGAAAAAAGCCAAUUUUAUUAUUUGUUUACGUUUGUGCGUUUAGCAAUAGCGUGUGACAAUUGUUUAAUAAAUAAUUAGUUACUGUUGUUGCUCUAACGUUUGCGUAAAACCAAUACUAAUUAAAAAUUUUGGUGUUGAAUCUGAAUAACUUGAAUGGAUUCUCUUUGAAAGGAUUUCGUUUCGAUUCGGAAUGAAAUUUGAUUAGAAGAGGGUUUAAAGCAGACCGCAUUUAAGAGCUGCAAACAAAACGAUGAGAGCGUUUUCGCGUUCGAUUUGUUGUUUGUAGUUUAUGUGG
rnacentral:rRNA from 1 species